rnacentral:rRNA from 1 species
AUUGAACGCUAGCGGGAUGCUUUACACAUGCAAGUCGAACGGCAGCGCGGACUUCGGUCUGGCGGCGAGUGGCGAACGGGUGAGUAAUGUAUCGGAACGUGCCCAGUAGCGGGGGAUAACUACGCGAAAGCGUAGCUAAUACCGCAUACGCCCUACGGGGGAAAGCAGGGGAUCGUAAGACCUUGCACUAUUGGACCGGCCGAUAUCGGAUUAGCUAGUUGGUGAGGUAACGGCUCACCAAGGCGACGAUCCGUAGCUGGUUUGAGAGGACGACCAGCCACACUGGGACUGAGACACGGCCCAGACUCCUACGGGAGGCAGCAGUGGGGAAUUUUGGACAAUGGGGGCAACCCUGAUCCAGCCAUCCCGCGUGUGCGAUGAAGGCCUUCGGGUUGUAAAGCACUUUUGGCAGGAAAGAAACGUCGCGGGCUAAUACCCCGUGGAACUGACGGUACCUGCAGAAUAAGCACCGGCUAACUACGUG